CAAAGCUCGGCCUCUGGAAUUCUGAGAACUAAUUUGCUAUUCGGUGACAUAAGAGGGGGAGUGCGCUUUGCUUCCCCGGGGUCUGGGGCUCAUUUCUCCUCUCUUCCCCAUAAACUCAGCUCCUCCGAGCUCAAAACACAAAAGGAAGCGAGAGGUUGGAACCUUUGGGAAAAGUCUGUUAUAUAUAAUGGAUUACUGCAGCUUCUGCAGAAAAGCCUGUCUUGUGAAGGAUUUUUGAAAAAUAUACAUAGGCCUAAUCCUGUCACCCUUGUGGAAAUGAACAUUUUACCCCCGAAGACACACGUUAUCGUUAAAUGAAGAUUCAUUUUGCCAGAAGGCAGACUGUUUUUUAAAUUGUCCCCUUCCUCCUGAUUUCGAAAGAGUUUUAAAGGAAUCCCACCGGAUUCUAAAUGACACCCGAUUUUGCUGAAGCGAUCGUCUUUGUGUAUUUCUAUGGGGAACUCCCAAGAGGAAAUUGGUUUCACCUGUCAGGGAUUUCUGGCACCUUGGUAGAUCUUGAAACUGUCACAUAAGAGAAUUAUAGAUUUUAGGACUGGAAAGAACUUUGCAGAUCAAUCAACUCCUCGAGGCUUCCUUCUUUCAAGAGGACAGGAGGGCCAUCACUGGAGGCCUGCGGGACCCCGAGACACAACUGAGAACAGGUCUUUGUGGUUCUCUGGUCCUGUGUUAGAGAAUCAGGAAGAUCUGACUGCCUGGGCUUUGAGGCAGAUUCUUCACCAGCUGAGCCACCAGGGAAGCCAAAGAACACUGGAAUGCAUAGCCUAUCCCUUCUCCGGCGGAUCUUCCCGACGCAGGAAUUGAACCGGGGUCUCCUGCAUUGCAGGUGGAUUCUUUACCAGCUGAGCUACCAGGGAAGCCCUCUGUCCUCAGCAAUUGUCUGAUCCCACGCAACUGAUUUUGUAUCACUGGAAACAGGCCCACACAGAAUGUAUUUGCUGCACACACUGGACCAGGCUGAGUCAGAUCCAGAACUUUGAUGUCCUGGUUCUAAAUCCACUGUGUUUUUCCAUAGCUUAUCAUUAGAAGAGGAUACGGGGUGGGCAGACCUGCCAAAGAGCCAUUUUCUGUGGCCUUACAUUUUCUGUGACCUUCAGAGAAGUCUCCACUUUUGGACUCCUGAGAUCAUCUCCACUGAGGUUCUACAUCAGUCUUAACAGUACAAUGACAGUAUGGAAAGGAGCAGACUGUCAUUCACAAGUUCUGCAUGUUGGUCCCAGUGUAGGACGCCGUAUAGGAGUCCUCACAGGUUCCUAUGGUACUGUGACUUAUCACUGUUAAUAAACCUAUAAUUAUCUUAGGAGUAGUGUGAUUGCAUUGUAAUUGUGUGUACAUUGGUGUUAAAAAUGUAAAAUUUAAUGUAUUUUUGGCCUAGAAAUAAUGAUGCUACAAUAGCCAAGAGCCCACCUGCUGCCAGUUCUUGAUUACUGAUCCCUUUCUGAAGUAACAGAAAGCAAGGCUCCUUGGAUAAAUGGCU
ensembl:lncRNA